AUGCAUGUUAGAGAGAGGUUUUUGUAUGAGCUUGUAUCACAGUGUUGGGUGUUCGGCGGAGGGACCCAGCUGACCGUCCUAGGUCAGCCCAAGUCUGCACCCUCCGUAUCUCUGUUCCCGCCAUCCGCUGAGGAGCUCAACAACAACAAGGCCACACUGGUGUGUCUCAUGAGUGACUUCUACCCGGGCAGCGUGACGGUGGCCUGGAAGGCAAAUGGCACCCCCGUCACCCAGGGCGUGGAGACCACCAAGCCCUCCAAGCAGAGCAACAACAAGUACGCGGCCAGCAGCUACCUGAGCGUGUCCAGCCAAGACUGGAAGUCCGCCAGCGCCUACAGCUGCCAGGUCACGCACGACGGGAAGACCGUGGAGAAGACAGUGGCCCCCUCAGAGUGUUCCUAGGACCUGAGUCCCCACUUCUGGAGACACUUCUCCGUCAGACCCUCCCUUCCCCUGCUCCCCUCUUUCCCCCUGUGGCUCCUGCCCUGGUCACUCAGACUGGGCAGGUGGCCAUCCCUCCCCGUUUCCCCUUCUCCUGAAUAAACUCCUGUCAUUUCUCAUCUGA